rnacentral:lncRNA from 1 species
GCGGGAGAUGGAAACGCGGGGCCGGGGCCCUAGUCAGGUGCUCUGUCGCCUUUAGCCUCGGCCCCCUCUUAGACUGUGUCUGAGGAAACAAGAAAGAAAGGAAGAAAGAAAGAAAGAAAGAAAGAAAGAAAGAAAGAAAGAAAGAAAGAAAGAAAG